AAAUUGAAGAGUUUGAUCAUGGCUCAGAUUGAACGCUGGCGGCAGGCCUAACACAUGCAAGUCGAACGGUAACAGGAAGAAGCUUGCUUCUUUGCUGACGAGUGGCGGACGGGUGAGUAAUGUCUGGGAAACUGCCUGAUGGAGGGGGAUAACUACUGGAAACGGUAGCUAAUACCGCAUAAUGUCGCAAGACCAAAGAGGGGGACCUUCGGGCCUCUUGCCAUCGGAUGUGCCCAGGUGGGAUUAGCUAGUAGGUGGGGUAACGGCUCACCUAGGCGACGAUCCCUAGCUGGUCUGAGAGGAUGACCAGCCACACUGGAACUGAGACACGGUCCAGACUCCUACGGGAGGCAGCAGUGGGGAAUAUUGCACAAUGGGCGCAAGCCUGAUGCAGCCAUGCCGCGUGUAUGAAGAAGGCCUUCGGGUUGUAAAGUACUUUCAGCGGGGAGGAAGGGAGUAAAGUUAAUACCUUU
rnacentral:rRNA from 1 species